CAGUCAUUUGAACGUCCGUGAUAAACAAUGAUAAACCCGGCGAAACGGUCGGGUCUUUGACCACUGACUCACCCGGACAGCUUCAGGCUCUGCUCCGUCUGCUGCGGGUCGGAACCCGCCUGGCUCCCCAUCCUGCGGGUUCGAACUUGACCGUCGAACUUGGCGUUCAGCUCCAGGUUGUAGGUCUGCGGUUGUCCGGGCCGCGUCGAGAUGGAGCUGACUCUCAGCCCCCGGUCCGCUCCGGCUGCCGACCCCGGCUGGAGCACGUAGAGCCUCCUGAAGGCGCCCGGACCCGGACCCUGCUGCUCCGCUGACCCGCUUAUCAGGGCCAGAAACGAGCCGAGACACAGAAGGAGAGCGAGUUCCGAGCGAGUCAUGUCCGCGAGGGAGGAAAAGUUCGACGAGCUCGGGAGGAAGUUACGAGGAGGCGUCGGUCUUCCUCCACAUUCUCCCGCAGGUACCGAGCGGGACUCGAACCCAACACGCCCGCGAAGAAGAGACGGCGUUUCUAUGGCAACGUGGAGGUCAAAAGUUCCGCUGUGUCCCGGUGCUGGUCUGGAGGUUCUCCGGUGCUCGACUCCGGAAAGUUUCUAUCCCGGAGUUCUGAGGUGAAGCAGCCGCCUCCAGAAGUGACGUCACGCGGGGGUCCUGGGCCGUCUCUUACUCAGGAGCUUCGACGGAGCCAGUGCCUGGUCAGAACCGGACCCCCGCGCCACCCGUCCACCUGACCAACGGAUGGACCUCCAUAACAGCAAUCGAACCUGGUGUGUCGUCAUGAAGAGUGACGCUCGUCGCCAUCAUCUUCACCGUCAUGAGCUGGUAUUUGGUUUGACACGGAGGAAGUGAUGUCGGCUGCUCGUGUCGAGACAUGUGAUGUUUCCAGACCUGCUCCCUCGAGGGUGUCGCGCACAUGCAGUUUAUCAGCCACACAUCUGCAGGUGUCCAGAGCCAGCAGAGCUCUGGUUCCUAACUGUUGUGUUGGAGACCACCACAACGUUCCUGGGGCUUCUGCGACAUCAAAGGACCCCAGUUCUGAACAAAGCAGCUGAUGGUAGCUGGCGAUAAAGAGAGACACACACACAGUUGAUGAAGUCCGACUGAACCAUCACAGUCUCAGACCAGAUGUCCUGUGAGAGAGUGUCAGGUGAGCCGUGGGAAGUGAUCCAGUUUCACCUCAUGGGUCCGGAGAUAGAGGUGGGUGAUGACAUGAAAUCAUGACAAUGAGAACAAUAAUAAUAGCAAUGUGAGGAGACCACAUGGAUUCGGUCACAUUCUUCCUCUUCCCACAUUCUCACACACAGUGGAGAAGCCAGUCAAAUGUGCAACUUGAAGUUGUUUUUAAACCUGACGUGUCUCUAAGUUGACCACACACCUUCACAACAGAACAUUGGCGUGAUCCUUGUCGGUCCUGCGACACCACAGAUUGUCACAGAGCUAACGGCUAAUGUGACCUUUUACUUCCAAACGCCUCGGGAUUUUUUCAUUGAACCAAGUGUUCCCCAAAAAGGUUGAAAAACAGUGGCCCAUAGAGAAACCGACAACAGUGAGAUUCACAGAUGCAUAAAUGCUGCCUCCUAUUGGCAGAGAGAGGAACUACACCAUGAUUAUCUCGCCUCAUGACGUAGUGGCGUGAGUGAGCAAAGAUGAUUCCCGUCUCACCUUCUCCGAGGGCCACGGCCUUCUCCACUAUGGUCUUGAGGGCCGCCGGGUCUUUCUCCCACCCGCUGGCUUGCAGUGUGCAGCGAUGAGCUUUGUUGAGGAAGUGAAGUGCCUGAAAGCAGAGAGCUGUUCAGACGGGAUCAACAUGGACACCAGGGAUGUGGCACAGACCUUCUCGUUCUCCUCCAUGUUUGCGCUGCGUCCGCCGCCAUACAGCUGGGCGUACUGGUGCCAGACUUCAGCGUCGCUGCUGUGGCGGGCACUGACCCGUCCCAGCAGCUCCCUCAGUUUGGGACCAAGAGAGGCCGCCGGUGCUCCCUGGCUGUCGGGCAGGUUCUCCACAACCGCCCGGACAAGGAUCUUGAGGACCUGCGGACGAAGAGGAGCGUCAGCUUCGUUGUUGAAGUUUCUAUGCAUUCUGCUUCUCAGUCAUGUGACCCAGCCGAUGAGCAGUUUCCUGGUCUCUCUGCUCGCGACCCGAGACUGGACGAGCUACUACGAGGAGCUAAGGUUGCUCGCCCAUCUGGCAACGCUCACCCACUCUGUCACCCGACAGUGGGCAACGUUCCAAAGCAACCUGCAGGAGACAACACACACGUGUUGCCGGGCAACAGCAGAAUUGGCUGCUGACCUCAGUGACACCACCAGCGUCCUUCACUGCGGAGCAACACACUGCCGCUGACCUCCGAUUUACAGCAGCGAAAAGACGGCGGCAUGAGAACGUGGGCUUCAGCAGCAGUAAACCAGGGUGUGAUUAGGAACCUUCCCGGGGGGGAGAAGAUCCUCCUCCGGCUUGAUUGCGCCGCAGCGACAGGAGUCGCAGCCAUCGGUGGGAAGAAUUAAUAAUCCUGGAAAUGAUGCUGCGGCUCAGGCCGAGAGCCGGCGCCUCCUUUCUGCUGUUGCUGGGGGUGCAAUUACCGAGAGGUGAUUAAGAGAGGCUUCCUGCUUGCUGCUAAUGAGUCUGCUGAUGUGACCACAAUAGAGAUGAUCCACCAGCGCCACGGGGAGAACAAACAGUCGGAGGGAAGGCGCUCGCUCUGAGCUCCCCAAACUUCUCCUGCCCACUCGCUCAGGAGCCACGUCGGCCCUGACACGAUGAUGCUUCAGCGUCCAAGACGUUGGACCUUUGACCCCUACCUGCAUGUCCUUGUAGUUCUCCUUGAGCUCCAUCAGCUGGUGGUACGCCCUCACCGCUUCCCGGAACUCUCCCACGUCCACGCUCACGCCGAUGUAGUUCUCCCAGAUCUGCCAGUGCUCGUAGUUGCAGCGCAGGGCCUCCUGCAGCGAGCGGAAGGCUUUGGUCCUGAAAGACACGGCGGCGGUGAGACGGCGAGCUCUUCCCCGUCAUGCUCACUCCCUCUGCACUCACUUCCUGUUCAGGCGGAUGUGCGCCGACGACAGGUUGUUCCAGGCUUCUGCAUUCUAGAUGACAACAGUAGGUGUUAGAGCUUCACUUGGCUUCAUCAUGGUGACAAUGGGAGAAUAAAACCCGCAUUUGAUGCUUCAAAACUUCAGGAGUGGAGGUGAUGACAGUGCCGUGAAUAUAUAUAUAUAGGGAUGGGAUUAAAUUUCAAAAAUUAAUCUAGUUAAUUAGCAUUUAUGAUUAAUCUCAAUCACAUUUUAAUGCUAUAAGGAAAAAUAUAAAAAUAAAGAAAAAAAGAAAACGAUUGUUCGCUUUGCAUCAGUUUGACAAUAUCACAAUACAUCACCAUGGUGGCUAUAUUCAAGUUUUUAUAUCACCUUAUUUAAACUAAAGCUCUUUUAAUGUCUUGAAAAUAUUUGUAUAAGAAUUUCAAUGUUAUAUAAGAAUUUCAAGUCCAUUCAGAGUAGUGGAAACCCUGGACAUUGUGUAGUGAAAAACCUCCCUGAACAAAAGCAAACAGAUGCUUUUGUUUGCUUGUGUUCAGGGAUUCCUCCAUGUUUGUUGUUGUUGUUGUUGUUGUUGUUCUCAUCCUAGCUGCCACGUGUCUUGUGCAUCAGUGGGAUGAGUGGACCAGGAACUCGUGCACUGACAAAGGUUCUGUGUUGUAAAAGACCCCCUGUCGUACAGCAAAGUAUUUGACUGUCGGCUUCACCACACUGGCGUUAGUCUUGAUGUCAUGGGUGUGUUGUGGUGUUGGUGCCACUCACAUCAGGUUCCAGUUCCACACAUCUCUGGAAAGCCUUGGCAGCCCCUUCCCAGCUCUCCAGGGCGAAGUACGCACAACCCAGGGAGAACCAGACGCCCAGCUGCGCAU